rnacentral:lncRNA from 1 species
CUUUUCACUGGCAAAGAAAUUCAGAAAUGAAAGUGCAGAAGCUUCUGUACCUAAUGCCAUGUGGAAGGAAAAGAUGCUCUCACAGCUGGUGGAUUGUAUAGGAAGAAUCUCUGAGACUGGUGGAACUGUCGCUACUCAAAGCUGUGGGGUGAAGAGGGAAGGGGACUGGGGAAAAAGGUCUGUCACCUCAGCUUUUCCCUCCCAAAGUGAAGAUGGCUCAGGCUCAGUUGUUUCUGGUUCUGAUCAUCUUGUUCCCUCAUAUUCCUACGAGUCCAAGAACUGCAGCUCUGCAGGUGCAGAAAGAGCCUGAAUGACAAAUAAACAUCAGGCUAAAAUACAUCCUAGAUUAAAUAUUUAAGGCAUGCUGACAUCCAGGC